GUUUCCACUAAUCAGCCUGAGUGGAUGCAAGAUAACACCAUUCUCUAUAGCUCAGAUCGCAAAGUCUUCUUCAUGAAAGUUGUUCCUUAUCUUGUGAACUACAACAUCUCCAAAUUUGAGAUCCAUCGGAGUAGUACAACUCCAGAAAUGCAGGUAUGAUGAGUAACUGUUCAUCAAUUUUCUGUUAACCCGUCAGACUUGUUGUGAGCUUCUAAACUCCAUUUUUUCUUGUUCAUCUCAACAUACUUUCUUCAUCGAAGUUGUUCCUUACCUUGUCAGCUACAACAUAUCCAAAUUUGAGAUCCAUCGGAGCAGUACAAAUCCAGAAAUUCAGGUAUGAUGAGUGACUGUUCAUCAUUUUUCUGUCAACCUGUCAGACUUGUUGUGAGCUUCGAAACUCCAUUUUCUCUUGCUCAGAUCAACAUACUUUCUUCAUCGAAGUUGUUCCUUAACUUGUGAACUACAACAUAUCCAAAAUUGAGAUCCCUCGGAGCUGUAUAACUCAAGAAAUGCAGGUAUGAUGAAUGACUGGUUAUGAUUUUUCUGUCAACCCGUCAGAUUUGUUGUGAGCUUUGAAACUCUAUUUUCUCUUGCUCAGAUCAGCAUGCUUUCUUCAUUGAAGUUGUUCCUCAGCUUGUGAACUACAACAUAUCCAAAUUUGAGAUCCCUCGGAGCUGUAUAACUCAAGAAAUUCAGGUAUGAUGAAUGACUGGUUAUUGAUUUUUUCUGUCAACCCGUCAGAUUUGUUGUGAGCUUUGAAACUCUACUUUCUCUUGCUCAGAUCAGCAUGCUUUCUUCAUUGAAGUUGUUCCUCAGCUUGUGAACUACAACAUAUCCAAAUU
rnacentral:lncRNA from 1 species